rnacentral:rRNA from 1 species
AAAACGGGUGGUAAUGCCGGAUGUUCCACAUGAUCGCAUGUGAUUGUGGGAAAGAUUCUAUCGGCGUGGGAUGGGGUCGCGUCCUAUCAGCUUGUUGGUGAGGUAACGGCUCACCAAGGCUUCGACGGGUAGCCGGCCUGAGAGGGCGACCGGCCACAUUGGGACUGAGAUACGGCCCAGACUCCUACGGGAGGCAGCAGUGGGGAAUAUUGCACAAUGGGCGCAAGCCUGAUGCAGCGACGCCGCGUGAGGGAUGGAGGCCUUCGGGUUGUAAACCUCUUUUGUUUGGGAGCAAGCCUUCGGGUGAGUGUACCUUUCGAAUAAGCGCCGGCUAACUACGUGCCAGCAGCCGCGGUAAUACGUAGGGCGCAAGCGUUAUCCGGAUUUAUUGGGCGUAAAGGGCUCGUAGGCGGCUCGUCGCGUCCGGUGUGAAAGUCCAUCGCUUAACGGUGGAUCUGCGCCGGGUACGGGCGGGCUGGAGUGCGGUAGGGGAGACUGGAAUUCCCGGUGUAACGGUGGAAUGUGUAGAUAUCGGAAAAGAACACCACC